rnacentral:misc_RNA from 1 species
GAAAUUAAUAGUAUUGAACCAUCCACCAUCACCAAGCAUCCACUCUCAAUGAAAAUAACAAAAGGGAGAAAAGAGGAAUUAUAGAAAUCUAGGAAACAAACUAGUUACUAAGUAGAAAAUAAAGGGUAGACAAAAUGUCAAUAAUGGCUUUAAUAUCAAAUUCAUUGCAAUUCAUUCUCCAAAAUCUCCCUUGAAUGAAUGGUCUGCGUUGUAACUCCUAGAAAAUUCUACAACAAACAAUGGCGAUGAGGACAACGCUGCAUGUUAGGUAUGCGAUAUUUCUGAGCCAAGAGCCAUCCCUACCUGUUGCACCAGCUAAUAUAUCUCAUCAUCAGGGAUAUCUGGGUUCAAAAAUUUCAUAGGGUCUUGGAUCAAAUCUUGAUUUCUCAAUGUACGUUUAACCUUUUCAGGGACAGGCAUAAGUGGAAUGAUGCUAUCUCUGUCAAUUACACCGUCAAUUAGCCCAAAUUCUAAAGCUUCAAUUGGGGACAUGUAACGAUCUCUAUCAAUAUCUUUCUGAACUUGUUCAUAUGAUCGUCCAGUGGAAUUGGAAAAGAUUUUGAUAACAUUGUCCUUGUUAUGCAUUAUUUCUCGGGCUUGAAUUUCUACAUCUAUUGCUUGACCACUGGCACCUCCAAGUGGUUGAUGUAUCAUAAUUCGAGUAUUAGGCAUUGCGUAGCGUUUUCCUUUGGUGCCACCGGCAAGGAUUAUUGAAGCUGUGGAAGCUGAAAUGCCAAGUGCAACUGUGGAUACAUCAGCCCUCACCAACUGCACAACGUCGAAGAUAGCCAUUGUUGCGCUGAGUGAGCCACCAGGGCAAUUAAUAAAGAGCCUAAUAUCUUUAGUGGAAUCCAGAGCAUCCAACAACAACAACUGACUAAUAAUAGCAUCAGCGAAGAAGUCAUCAAUGCUACUACCCAAGAAAAUUAUCCUCUCCCUAAGCAACAGCCCCAUUGCGUCUCCUUCAGCACCACGCAUAGCCAUCCCCGGGGACUGAGGAGCAGAGGCAAGUAGCAAGGACAAUUUAUCAUCCGCAACUAGAUGAGAAUCAGAAAGGGGUUUUGAAGUGGAUUGGUGAGAAGUGAGUGAAGAUUUGAGGGAUAAGGGUGUUUUGCGAGAUGGGUAUGGUGAAAAAGUGGGCGAAAGCUUAGGAAGAGAGGCAUGGCGGAGAUUGAAAGAGGGACAGUGAGGAGAUAGAGAAGUAGAAAGAGUUAGGGACUCCAUUGGUAGAGAGGAGAAUUUGUG